CUCCUCAGUUACAUCGUGGGCUCCCCCACAGUGAGGAACCGGGCUUGUAACAUCUUUUCCGAACCUGUGGAAAGGACUAGAGGGUGCGCUGAGAGCGCGGAGUAACAGUGAAUCUCUACUGAGGAGGAAGAAUAAAAAUUCUCACUUCACUGCCUCCAAACUAGAAGGUCUGUUUUGUGAGCAUUGAUUCCGGAUUAUUUUACAGCUAUUAAGAAGGAUAAUUAUAUUGAAUUGUAUCAAGACUCCAAGGAAAAGAAGACCAAAUUCCUAUCAUAGCUGCUGUGCUGGGUCUGCAGAACAGGCUGACAGUUUCCAAGUGAGGCAUGGCAAGAGACUCUUAAUGGGAUCCACUGACGGGCUUGAGGGAAUCAACAAAUCUUUGAAACUCUAUCCAGUGAAUUUUGUAUGAGGUCUCAUCAAAGAGGUCUGUAGCCCCAAAGAUAUUAGAAACCGAUGAUCUAACAGGUCUAAGUGUGUGGACCUUCUUCUCAGCAGUGGUUUUGGGGGUUAGAUGAGUCUAACCCAGGCAAACCUUCAAACAGAGGCACUAACAGGGCUAUUCUUGAGAGAAAAACGGCAGAGGAAGAAGGCAGGGGAGUUUAAAGCCUAACUAACCACGUUCCAGGCCCACCCCAAGGAACCAGGAAGUAAACAGAAGGCCAGUGAGAUCCUCAUCCACAUACAGUGAAGCGAAGUACCGUGUCCCCCACCAGCAGCCUACAUCCAGCCCUCUCCAGUGGACAGGAAGCUCCCCCCGAGCUAAUACAAGGCGUCAGGGCCAGUCAAGAUGGCGGCGAGCACGAGGUCUUUCCCCUCCCCACUGGCGGGACACAUCUGUGCACACCGGUCAUGAGCAUCUGUUCAUCUUUUGCUCCUCUCAAAAUAGUUCUCAAAGAUGUCUGAUACUUUCCCCCUCACUCUUACUUAAUAUUUAUCGUAGUUUUCCAUUUAAUGGAGCCCUGGUUUAAUUUCACUUUUUUUUUUUUUUGUAGCAGUGUUUUAAUUUGGGCUUCAUGUGCUCUAAAAAUAUCUUGUCAGGGUAUCAAAAAUAACACUGCAGAAUGGCAA